rnacentral:rRNA from 1 species
GAUGAACGCUGGCGGCGUGCCUAAUACAUGCAAGUCGAGCGAACAGACGAGGAGCUUGCUCCUCUGACGUUAGCGGCGGACGGGUGAGCAACACGUGGAUAACCUACCUAUAAGACUGGGAUAACUUCGGGAAACCGGAGCUAAUACCGGAUAAUAUAUUGAACCGCAUGGUUCAAUAGUGAAAGACGGUUUUGCUGUCACUUAUAGAUGGAUCCGCGCCGCAUUAGCUAGUUGGUAAGGUAACGGCUUACCAAGGCAACGAUGCGUAGCCGACCUGAGAGGGUGAUCGGCCACACUGGAACUGAGACACGGUCCAGACUCCUACGGGAGGCAGCAGUAGGGAAUCUUCCGCAAUGGGCGAAAGCCUGACGGAGCAACGCCGCGUGAGUGAUGAAGGUCUUCGGAUCGUAAAACUCUGUUAUUAGGGAAGAACAAAUGUGUAAGUAACUAUGCACGUCUUGACGGUACCUAAGCAGAAAGCCACGGCUAACUACGU